rnacentral:sRNA from 1 species
CUUCACAUAAAACAUAUAUACCGUGUAAAUUCUAAAUUCUAACAAUAGAACCGCUGUAGCACAUUGUCGAAAGCAAACAUUCUAGUUUAAUACUGGAUCAGAAUUCCGGGUUCGAAGCUCGGCUACGGAAAAAUCUUCUUGGUGCUUUUUAUAAAGUAUCUUGUUUGACAAUUGAAGAUACUUUCUCGUAUUGUUCUUUCUUCUCUGCUCAUUGUUAUGGUUUUUAUACUAUAUUAUAUGAUUCUUGAAGAAAACCGUGCUUGCGUUUUAGAUUUGAUGGAGUCAUAU